UUGAAACACCGGGUCUCGUACGAUUACCGAAGUUAAGAAACGUUGAGCCUGGUCAAUACCAAGAUGGGCGGCCUCUUAGGAAUACCAGGUGCUGUAAG